UACGUAGGGGGCAAGCGUUGUCCGGAAUUUAUUGGGCGUAAAGAGCGCGUAGGCGGUCCGAUAAGUCGGCUGUGAAAGUCAGGGGCUCAACCCUUGAAAGCCGGCCGAUACUGUCGGACUAGAGUCCGGAAGAGGCAAGUGGAAUUCCCGGUGUAGCGGUGAAAUGCGCAGGAUAAUCGGGAGGAACACCAAUGGCGAAGGC
rnacentral:rRNA from 1 species